GUGGAUUAGAUACCCUGGUAGUCCACGCCGUAAACGAUGCGCACUAGACCGAUGCAGGUCUGACCCUGUGUUGGUCGGAGAGAAAUUGUUAAGUGCGCCGCCUGGGAAGUACGGUCGCAAGGCUAAAACUCAAAGGAAUUGACGGGGGCUCACACAAGCGGUGGAGCAUGUUGCUUAAUUCGAAGCAACGCGAAGAACCUUACCUGGGUUUGACAUGCAUGGAUUAGUUCCUGGAAACAGGAAUGACACUCGCAAGAGUGGAACAUGCACAGGUGCUGCACGGCCGUCGCCAGCU
rnacentral:rRNA from 1 species